rnacentral:rRNA from 1 species
ACGGCUCAGUAACACGUGGGCAACCUGCCUUUUGCUUUGGGAUAGCCAUGGGAAACUGUGGGUAAUACCGAAUAAUCCGCUAACCUCGCAUGAAGUUAGCGGCAAAGCUUUUGCGGCAAAAGAUGGGCCCGCGGCCUGUUAGCUUGUUGGUGAGGUAGAAGCUCACCAAGGCGAUGAUGGGUAGCCGGGUUGAGAGACCGACCGGCCAGAUUGGGACUGAGACACGGCCCAGACUCCUACGGGAGGCAGCAGUGGGGAAUUUUGCACAAUGGGCGCAAGCCUGAUGCAGCGACGCCGCGUGAGGGAUGGAGGCCUUCGGGUUGUGAACCUCUUUCGCUCAUGGUCAAGCCGCGGAUGUGUCCGUGGUGAGGGUAGUGGGUAAAGAAGCGCCGGCUAACUACGUGCCAGCAGCCGCGGUAAUACGAU